rnacentral:rRNA from 1 species
GCGUAAGCGCGCGCAGGCGGUUUCUUAAGUCUGAUGUGAAAGCCCACGGCUCAACCGUGGAGGGUCAUUGGAAACUGGGGAACUUGAGUGCAGAAGAGAAAAGCGGAAUUCCACGUGUAGCGGUGAAAUGCGUAGAGAUGUGGAGGAACACCAGUGGCGAAGGCGGCUUUUUGGUCUGUAACUGACGCUGAGGCGCGAAAGCGUGGGGAGCGAACAGGAUUAGAUACCCUGGUAGUCCGCGC